rnacentral:tRNA from 1 species
GCUGGCAUAGCUCAGUAGGUAGAGCAGCUCACUCGUAAUGAGCAGGUCGUGGGUUCAAAUCCCUCUGCCAGCU